GCUCACCACAUAAAGUCCAGUUCCCUCUGGCCUCUGUAGGUUGGCUAUCACCAAGGAACCUGUGCCUCCUCUGAGACAAAGGCACCACUUCAGUAACAGUCAUAAAAGAUGUUCAGCAAGCUUGGAUUCCUCCAGUUUAUCCAGGUCUUCUCCCUGGGGUUGGUAACCAAUGAGGGUAAUGAUUGAAGAAAGGCACCAGUUGCCUCUGCCCUGCUACCCUGAAUUCAAAUUCUAUUAAUCAGCUUCCUUAAUUGGCCAGCUCCAGGGAAUGAGCCAAGGUACCAAUGGACUACUUUUUGGGAAGCUCUGGAAAGCUCACUGAACAGUUUUCUAACAACUCUGCCAGGGCCGCAUCUCCUACGAAGAUCUCGCCUCCCCACUGAAGACCCUGGCCCAGCCUUCUGCAGUGCCACACUCCGUGUAUUUGACAAGCUGAGUUGGACACUCCGUGUGGCAGAGUGUCAGUUUGUCAAAUACCCCAAGUGCGGCAUGUGCCUAGCAACUUCAGGCCAGGGCACUUCAGAUACAACAAAUAGACUAUCAGCUGGAUAAGGAACAUACGGAAAACACCAACUAAGCUCUCACAAGUUAUUUUUGGUAACUUUGAGUGAAUGUAAGCAUUUUAUCUGAGGUUACUAAUGGAAAAAUCAGGCAGCUCUGGGAGCCACAGUCCUGGGUGGGUUCUGCACACACUGUGGGAGUCUGAGGUGGGCACAGUUGUCUUAAAAAGGUAUCCAGGGCCUGGAAAUGUAAGUGCUACUUGAUUCAUUGUUUUUUCCUUCACAUUCCCCUUCCAGCAUCUGCCAGCAAAGACACCAGAAGUCUCAGACAAGUGCCAUGGCAAGGCUUAGAAACCCACUUUCCUGAAAGCCAGCCUUGGCUCUAAACACGCUUUGACAUCACCCAUCUCUCUUUUGCCUCAUGCUUUUUCUCCUGAGAAUACCCUCUACAUUUCUUUCUACCUAUCCAAUUCCUUUUCACAUUUCCUUGCCUAGACAGAAUCCAGUCUCUCAAGUGACUUUUGAAAGUCAAAUUACACUUUCUUUUUUCAUUCUCAAAUCACUUUUUGCCUGGUUCCUUUUAUGUACCCCUUUAUCUCCUACUGCCUAAUGAUACCACUUGAAUUGUUAGUGAACUUUUCCAGAGGAUAUUUUUGAAUUCCCCACUAGGUUGUGUGCUUCUAGAGGACAAGACUGUGUUUCCUUGAUUGCUGUCUCAAUUCCACCCCAAACCCAACCACUAGCACAAUGUUCUGGUUGUAGAAAAUACUCAAUAAAUGUUCAUUGAUUGA